CGUGAUUUGGGCUAUAUUACGGACACUCAUAUUACUUGUUUCAAUUCAUUGUUUUAGGGAUUUUUUUCAAUGGCUUCCAAAGGCUCGGUUUAGAACUAGGAUGGGGGUAUCCCUACAUAAGCGGGGUGCGAACCCCACGGACGAAUGGUUCCAUCAAGUCUUCGAAAAGAAGGAAUAUAUAACGAUUGCAUUGCAUAUACUAACGUAUGCGAUCAUACCAGCCACUAAUACACGAGAUCCCAUCAGGGACUCCGCAGUUAAGCGUGCUUGGGCGGAAUAUUGUACUAGGAAGGGUGACCUCCCGGGAAGUCCUCGUGUUGCAUCCCUCUUUUUUUUUAAUUUGUUUUUUUUGGUUAAAACUUUAUGACUCGUAUAACUUUUAUACCGUGAGGCCAAACUAGGCAUGUGGAUACCUUUUCGGAAAUCCCAAAGAGAACCCUCCGACGAAAGAAACAGGACAAACGAACUUUUCCUUUGACUUU
rnacentral:rRNA from 1 species